rnacentral:lncRNA from 1 species
CUUUCAAGGAAAACCCUGAUUUUUCGGGUUGUUUCCACUCCGACCGGUUAGGGGCCGGAGUUUGGUCUAAGUUCUUUUCCAGCUCGAAAGCUUAGAGGGGAAGAAAGGACAAAAGGGGUGGGCUCCUCUUCUCUCCUCCUCCUCUUCUUCCUCCGCCUCCCUCUUCUUCUCGUCCUCCCCUCCCCGGCUCCCAGUUAGUCUAAGGGGUAGAGCCGGGGAGGGGAGGUAGCGGACUAAGGCGGCGACUCCGGGGAGGGAGGUUCCCAACGGUUAGUCUCACCCAGCCCGGGGAGAAACGCGUACACCUCACAUUCGCCUCGGCUCCCUCGGACGUAACGAAUGGGGAUGGGAACCUAGAGAGCGGAUUGCAGGAAGGAAGGAGGAGCGCGCUCCGGGGGGGCACCACCACGCGUACGCGGCCGAAUCGACGACCCCCCCCCCCCCGACCCCGGGUCCGAGCCACGAGCCUCUCUGACCUUUGGGAUAGUAGGUGGAAGUUUCCUUGGCGUAGGAAAGGGAGGGCGCCUGCACCCCCCCCCUAGGGCAGGGGGAGGGCCCACCGCACAGGCGUACACUCGCGAGAGCGGGCACGCGCCUACACCGUUGCUAGGAGAGAGCGUCGAGGACUGAGCGGAGUCGCUCUGAGCGCCGGCGUGACAGUUGGCCAGGAGCAAAGAAAGCACUUGCGAAAGCACUCAGCUUCCUCAAGUGACUUUCUUUCCAUGUUACCCACCCUCUGCGGUCAAGGGGACAAAAGCCCACACCUUUUCUCACCUCAGCCUCCCGUGGUUGUACCAUUUUCAUGGUGAACAAAGGUUCAGUUUCCCUGCAAUGCAGUGGCUGUGACCCCUGCCCGGGGGAGGAGGGGUCUUGCCUGAAAUUCUCCACACUCAAUUACUCAUUCACCCUACAUUGUUCAGAGAGAAUUUUCAAGAAAGCAAGGGGUCAUAAAAAUUACCUUCAAGCAUAGGGCAGGUCCAGUAUUCCAGAAUUUUAAUGUUGAAAAGGGACCACAGAGGCCAUCGAACCCAAACCGUGCGCCUAAAUAAUAAUAGAGGACCUAUGGGACACAAGUGGCCAUCCAGGCCCUGCUGCCUGAGCCCCCAUCAGGCAAACAGUUACCCUUUGGGAUCAAUACUAUCUCUAAACCUUAACAAACACACAAAAAUAUGCAGAGGCACCCACAAAUGCAUUGCAUACAAAUACACUGAACUAUCAAGGAUAGUAGAUUUUAUAACAGAUGUGAAGAAAAGCUAAAGAAAUAUUUGACCCAGAGAAAAGAAGGCUCAAGGUUGGACUUCAAGAGUGAGCAGGAGGAACCCCAGCCACCAAAAUAUUUAUAGCAGCACUUUUUUUUGGUAGCAAAGAACUAGAAACAAAACACAUACCUACUGUUUGAGGUUACUGCUAAAUAAAUCGUGGCACAUUAAUUUAAUGAAAUGAAAU